AGUGGCGGACGGGUGAGUAACGCGUAAGAAUCUAACUUCAGGACGGGGACAACAGUUGGAAACGACUGCUAAUACCCGAUAUGCCGCGAGGUGAAACCUAAUUGGCCUGAAGAAGAGCUUGCGUCUGAUUAGCUAGUUGGUGGGGUAAGAGUCUACCAAGGCGACGAUCAGUAGCUGGUCUGAGAGGAUGAGCAGCCACACUGGGACUGAGACACGGCCCAGACUCCUACGGGAGGCAGCAGUGGGGAAUUUUCCGCAAUGGGCGAAAGCCUGACGGAGCAACGCCGCGUGAGGGAGGAAGGUCUUUGGAUUGUAAACCUCUUUUCUCAAGGAAGAAGUUCUGACGGUACUUGAGGAAUCAGCCUCGGCUAACUCCGUGCCAGCAGCCGCGGUAAUACGGGGGAGGCAAGCGUUAUCCGGAAUUAUUGGGCGUAAAGCGUCCGCAGGUGGUCAGCCAAGUCUGCCGUCAAAUCAGGUUGCUUAACGACCUAAAGGCGGUGGAAACUGGCAGACUAGAGAGCAGUAGGGGUAGCAGGAAUUCCCAGUGUAGCGGUGAAAUGCGUAGAGAUUGGGAAGAACAUCGGUGGCGAAAGCGUGCUACUGGGCUGUAUCUGACACUCAGGGACGAAAGCUAGGGGAGCGAAAGGGAUUAGAUACCCCUGUAGUCCUAGCCGUAAACGAUGCAUACUAGGCGUGGCUU
rnacentral:rRNA from 1 species